rnacentral:tRNA from 1 species
UAAGAGGAAAAUCCGUCGAUUUUCAAAAUCGUGAGGGUUCAAGUCCCUC